rnacentral:lncRNA from 1 species
UCCUGGACUGACAUUUUCACUUCCAAUUAAAGAUAGUUUUGUCCAGUGUCUCUCACAAAAUUCAGAAUUUGUCAUUCCUGCCUCAGAUUUCUACACCCCAGACAAUAGCUCUUCAUUCAAUGCUGUUUUGGAAUCUACUGCUCAAAACCUUAGGUACUUGUUGCCUUCGGUGCCAAAACCUGAGUUUAUUUUCACUCCUCUGUACGAAGCCCAUGUCCAAGCAUCUGUUAUUUGCUGUAAGCAGCUUGGAAUUCACCUUAGAGUCCGCAGUGGAGGCCAUGACUAUGAGGGUCUCUCUUAUGCCACUGAAAUUGAAACACAAUUCAUU